rnacentral:rRNA from 1 species
CCUACGGGUGGCAGCAGUGAGGAAUAUUGGUCAAUGGGCGCGAGCCUGAACCAGCCAAGUCGCGUGAGGGAAGACGGUCCUAUGGAUUGUAAACCUCUUUUGUCGGGGAGCAAAAGACGCCACGCGUGGCGUUCCGAGAGUACCCGAAGAAAAAGCAUCGGCUAACUCCGUGCCAGCAGCCGCGGGAAUACGGGGUAUGCGAGCGUUAUCCGGAUUUAUAGGGUUUAACGGGUGCGUAGGCGGACAGUAAAGUCAGCGGUAAAAAUGAGGUGCUCAACGCCGUCCAGCCGUUGAAACUGGCUGUCUUGAGAUGGCGAGAGGUAUGCGGAAUGCGCAGUGUAGCGGUGAAAUGCUUAGAUAUUGCGCAGAACUCCGAUUGCGAAGGCAGCAUACCGGCGGCGAUCUGACGCUGAGGCACGAAAGCGUGGGUAUCGAACAGGAUUAGAUACCCCAGUAGUC